rnacentral:rRNA from 1 species
GAUGAACGCUGGCGGCGUGCCUAAUACAUGCAAGUCGAGCGAACGGACGAGAAGCUUGCUUCUCUGAUGUUAGCGGCGGACGGGUGAGUAACACGUGGAUAACCUACCUAUAAGACUGGGAUAACUUCGGGAAACCGUAGCUAAUACCGGAUAAUAUUUUGAACCGCAUGGUUCAAAAGUGAAAGACGGUCUUGCUGUCACUUAUAGAUGGAUCCGCGCUGCAUUAGCUAGUUGGUAAGGUAACGGCUUACCAAGGCAACGAUGCAUAGCCGACCUGAGAGGGUGAUCGGCCACACUGGAACUGAGACACGGUCCAGACUCCUACGGGAGGCAGCAGUAGGGAAUCUUCCGCAAUGGGCGAAAGCCUGACGGAGCAACGCCGCGUGAGGGAUGACGGCCUUCGGGUUGUAAACCGCUUUCGCCUGUGACGAAGCGUGAGUGACGGUAAUGGGUAAAGAAGCACCGGCUAACUACGUG